UACAGAGGUGGCAAGCGUUGUUCGGAAUUACUGGGCGUAAAGGGCGCGUAGGCGGCCUACUAAGUCAGACGUGAAAUCCCCCGGCUUAACCUGGGAACUGCGUCUGAUACUGGAAGGCUUGAGGAUGGGAGAGGGAUGUAGAAUUCCAGGUGUAGCGGUGAAAUGCGUAGAUAUCUGGAGGAAUACCGGUGGCGAAGGCGGCAUCCUGGACCAUUACUGACGCUGAGGCGCGAAAGCUAGGGGGAGCAAACGGG
rnacentral:rRNA from 1 species